rnacentral:rRNA from 1 species
AGGGCACCACCAGGAGUGGAGCCUGCGGCUUAAUUUGACUCAACACGGGGAAACUCACCCGGCCCGGACACCGGAAGGAUUGACAGAUUGAUAGCUCUUUCUUGAUUCGGUGGAUGGUGGUGCAUGGCCGUUCUUAGUUGGUGGAGCGAUCUGUCUGGUUAAUUCCGAUAACGAACGAGACUCUAGCCUAUUAAAUAGACGUCGGGUUCUCUGCACUCGACGGUCUUCUUAGAGGGACAAGGUGCUUUUAGCACCGCGAAACAGAGCAAUAACAGGUCUGUGAUGCCCUUAGAUGUCCGGGGCCGCACGCGCGCUACACUGAAGAGAUCAGCGUGCAUGUGCUUCCUACUCCGAAAGGAGCGGGAAACCGAGUGAACCUUUUUCGUGCUUGGGAUUGGGGAUUGUAAUUAUUCUCCAUGAACGAGGAAUUCCCAGUAAGCACAAGUCAUCAGCUUGUGUUGAUUACGUCCCUGCCCUUUGUACACACCGCCCGUCGCUACUACCGAUUGGAUGUUUUAG